CCUCCCCCCACCUGCCCCCGUGGCUUCCAUCCAGCUUUCAGGAUUCCCAAGGGAGAAGCCCUGCAGCUUCCUAAUGUGAAGGACCUUCGAUGUGUGCUUCCUGCUUCCCUCUCCAACCUCAUCUCCACCUGCAAAGCUGGAGUCGUGCUUCUCCCACAGACCUCCACUCAGGCUGUAAAGAUGCGGGCUUGGCAUUAUUCUUGCCUCCUGAAGAAAGCUCACACAAGAAUGAAGUCAACACCAGAGUGAAGCGUUGCCGGAACUCAGGGAAACUGGAGCCCUGCCUUUCAGAUGACUAAAACUAGAAGCUUCCUUGAAUUUACAAUUUUGUGGCUCAAUGAUUUUCCAAAAUUUAUACAACACAUCACAGACCUGGAGGUGAUGAGAAGCUGGGGGUGUCAGUGAAGGCUUUCUGGAGGAAGGGGUGGCCAGAUUGAAUGGCAAAG
rnacentral:lncRNA from 1 species